CCUACGACCAGUGCAACAGAGAGCAAACCGCCGAUGGCCCACGCAAGUGGGAUCAGGUAAGGGUGAAAGGGUGCGGUAAGAGCGCACCGCGCGGCUGGUAACAGUCCGUGGCACGGUAAACUCCACCCGGAGCAAGGCCAAAUAGGGGUUCAUAAGGUACGGCCCGUACUGAACCCGGGUAGGCUGCUUGAGCCAGUGAGCGAUUGCUGGCCUAGAUGAAUGACUGUCCACGACAGAACCCGGCUUAUCGGUCAGUUUCACCU
rnacentral:RNase_P_RNA from 1 species